UUUCUGUCAGUGUGUGUGUGUCAAAAUCCCAAAAAAUCGACGGAAGAAUUCCGGAAAGAGAACGCAAAAAUAAAGUGAAAUACUUUAAACUUUAAUUUUAGGACCAGCAUCUUUGCUUGUUAAUCAUUUACUGGUACAAUAUUUAAAUACCAGCUUUGAGAUUAUGGAGAGCAGUGGAGCUGUUGGUCGCCGUCGAUGCAAUUCACGCAUAAAUGCUGAAGAUCAGGCAUUGGAUCAAAUUGCAAAAGAG